UUUUCAGGCUUCAGAUGGGAGAAGUGAUGCGGUGUUUCUUCUGGUUAUAUAGAGAGGGAGGCCGAUCUAGGUUCAGUUGUUGUAGUACAGUGUGUGUCGAUCCAAGUGGAUCUUUGCACUAGCAUAGCAGCAGCCAAUCAGCCAGUGACCGAUCUUUGUGGCAACCCUGGUUGCUGCUGGGCAAGUUGGGGAAGAAUUUUGGAACCGUGACAAGUGGUCAAUUGAGGCGCAUGCAAAAGGCCUGCCGACUGCAGUGUGUAUGCGUUAUGUGAAAGCACUGGACAUGAUUUUGUAGUGCAGAAGAAAGACAUUCAACUUGUUCGGUAGGUCGUCCGUACAAGAAAAGCAGAAUUCAUAGGGACAUGUGAAUUGUCGAAGCAGCCAUUUGCAACGCAUCUCCAUUUUGCAUGUGUUCUGUUCUGUGUGUCCUUCAUUCGGACAUAGAAUGUGAAUGAAUAUGCAGGACCAAAAUGAACUGACGCUGGUCUCCCUUGACGGCAAAGACGGGCUAGCAAUAAAUGCUGCGAGGAGGUGUACUAGCUGCUGACUUUGUUCGAUGCUGUCGAUUGGAAAAACUGAGAUGGCUGAUGGAACUUGGAGGGAUCUACGGGAAGACUGGAGGAUGAAAACGUUGUGCAACUAUUCCAUGUGGGGCUUUCACGUUACUAGAGAUUUCCUUUGUUUUCUUGCAGACGGAUUUAAUGACAUCUUUCCUUUCUUGUGAGCAUUUUUAAUUACCUUUUUAUUUUAUUUUUAUUGCAUAUAAUUAAUCAUAUUAUAAACAUUUUCCUCACAUUUGCUCAAAACAAUUUAAACGACUUGAUGCAAGACCUGAAAUUUUUGUUUAAUAAUUUAUAAAUACACGUUCAACGUU